rnacentral:rRNA from 1 species
AUACGUAGGUGGCAAGCGUUGUCCGGAAUGACUGGGCGUAAAGGGUGCGUAGGCGGCUAAUCAAGUUGGAAGUGUAAUCCCCGGGCUUAACUCGGGUGCUACUUCCAAAACUGGAUAGCUUGAGUGUGGGAGAGGUAAGCGGAAUUCCUAGUGUAGCGGUGGAAUGCGUAGAUAUUAGGAGGAACACCAGCGGCGAAGGCGGCUUACUGGACCAUAACUGACGUUGAGGCACGAAAGCGUGGGGAGCAAACAGGAUUAGAUACCCUGGUAGUCCACGCUGUAAACGAUGGAUACUAGGUGUAGGGGGUAUCGACUCCCUCUGUGCCGUAAGCAAACGCAAUAAGUAUCCCGCCUGGGGAGUACGACCGCAAGGUUAAA